GACGAACGCUGGCGGCGUGCUUAACACAUGCAAGUCGAACGGAAAGGCCCCUUUGGGGGUACUCGAGUGGCGAACGGGUGAGUAACACGUGAGUAACCUGCCCUUGACUUCGGGAUAACUUCAGGAAACUGGGGCUAAUACCGGAUAGGAAUCCUUGCUGCAUGGUGGGGGUUGGAAAGCUUCGGCGGUUUUGGAUGGACUCGCGGCUUAUCAGCUUGUUGGUGGGGUAGUGGCUUACCAAGGCUUUGACGGGUAGCCGGCCUGAGAGGGCGACCGGCCACAUUGGGACUGAGAUACGGCCCAGACGCCUACGGGAGGCAGCAGGGGGGAAUAUUGCACAAUGGGCGGAAGCCUGAUGCAGCAACGCCGCGUGCGGGAUGACGGCCUUCGGGUUGUAAACCGCGUUCAGCAGGGGCGAAGCUUGUGGUGACGGUACCUGCAGAAGAAGCACCGGCUAACUACGUG
rnacentral:rRNA from 1 species